GAUGAACGCUGGCGGCGUGCCUAAUACAUGCAAGUCGAGCGAACAGACGCGGAGCUUGCUCCUCUGACGUUAGCGGCGGACGGGUGAGUAACACGUGGAUAACCUACCUAUAAGACUUGGAUCACUUCGGGAAACCGGAGCUAAUACCGGAUAAUAUAUUGAACCGCAUGGUUCAAUAGUGAGAGUCGGUUUUGCUGUCACUUAUAGAUGGAUCCGCGCCGCAUUAGCUAGUUGGUAAGGUAACGGCUUACCAAGGCAACGAUGCGUAGCCGACCUGAGAGGGUGAUCGGCCACCCUGGAACUGAGACACGGUCCAGACUCCUACGGGAGGCAGCAGUAGGGAAUCUUACGCAAUGGGCGAAAGCAUGACGGAGCAACGCCGCGUGAGUGAUGAAGGUCUUCGGAUCGUAAAACUCUGUUAUUAGGGAAGAACAAAUGUGUAAGUAACUAUGCACGUCUUGACGGUACCUAAUCAGAAAGCCACGGCUAACUACGUG
rnacentral:rRNA from 1 species